rnacentral:ribozyme from 1 species
UUUUUUUUUUUUUUUUUUUUUUUUUUUUUUUUUUUUUUUUUCUUG